UGACGAGUGGCGGACGGGUGAGUAAUGCUUGGGAAUCUGGCUUAUGGAGGGGGAUAACUACGGGAAACUGUAGCUAAUACCGCGUAAUAUCGAGAGAUUAAAGGGUGGGACCGCAAGGCCACCUGCCAUGAGAUGAGCCCAAGUGGGAUUAGGUAGUUGGUGAGGUAAAGGCUCACCAAGCCGACGAUCUCUAGCUGGUCUGAGAGGAUGACCAGCCACACUGGAACUGAGACACGGUCCAGACUCCUACGGGAGGCAGCAGUGGGGAAUAUUGCACAAUGGGCGGAAGCCUGAUGCAGCAACGCCGCGUGCGGGAUGACGGCCUUCGGGUUGUAAACUCCUUUCGUUAGGGACGAAGCCGCACUUUUUUUGGGUGUGGUGACGGUACCUUUGUUAAGAAGCACCGGCUAACUACGUGCCAGCAGCCGCGGU
rnacentral:rRNA from 1 species